rnacentral:rRNA from 1 species
ACAGAGGGUGCGAGCGUUGUCCGGAAUCACUGGGCGUAAAGGGCGCGUAGGCGGUCCCUUAAGCGUGUGGUGAAAGCCCGGGGCUCAACUCCGGGUCGGCCGUGCGAACUGGGGGACUGGAGCGGAUCAGAGGCGGGCGGAAUUCCGGGUGUAGCGGUGGAAUGCGUAGAGAUCCGGAAGAACACCGGUGGCGAAGGCGGCCCGCUGGGAUCCUUGCUGACGCUGAAGCGCGACAGCGUGGGGAGCAAACAGGA